GAUGAACGCUAGCGGCAGGCCUAAUACAUGCAAGUCGAACGGAUAUAUGUUUUUCGGAAUAUAUAUUAGUGGCGCACGGGUGAGUAACACGUACAUAACUUGCCCUCAAGCGGGGGAUAGCCUUGGGAAACUGAGAGUAAUACCCCAUAGAAUUAUUGGACGGCAUCGUUUGAUAAUUAAAACUACGGUGCUUGGGGAUAGAUGUGCGUCUGAUUAGCUAGUUGGUGAGGUAACUGCUCACCAAGGCGACGAUCAGUAGGGGGCGUGAGAGCGUGGCCCCCCACACGGGUACUGAGACACGGACCCGACUCCUACGGGAGGCAGCAGUAAGGAAUAUUGGUCAAUGGAGGGAACUCUGAACCAGCCAUGCCGCGUGAAGGAUGACGGCCCUCUGGGUUGUAAACUUCUUUUGGAUGGGGCGAAAAAACGGGAUUUAUCCUGGACUGACGGUACCAUCAGAAUAAGCACCGGCUAACUCCGUG
rnacentral:rRNA from 1 species